GGAGAGGUGGCUGAGUGGUCUAAGGCACCCGAUUCGAAAUCGGACGUGGGGUAAAACUCACCGUGGGUUCGAAUCCCACCCUCUCCGCCA
rnacentral:tRNA from 1 species